GCUCCCGUAGCUCAGCUGGAUAGAGCGUCUGCCUUCGAAGCAGAAGGCCACAGGUUCGAGUCCUGUCGGGGGCACCA
rnacentral:tRNA from 1 species